AUCUUCUUACAACAUUUACAUGCGAGAAAUGUGAACACUAUAGGGAUGUUAACCUUACUAUGUUUAAUGAGGCAACUGCCGAAUUUACUUGAGCCAUGUGAUAACUAAGCAACAAGCAUUCAACUAAUAGAAGUUUAAAAGAGAAUGAAAAACAGUUAAAUAAUUAAAACAAGAAAAACAUCAUCAAUCCCAGUUCAGAACUAUUGCCUUUUUGAGUGAACUUUGGAGAUGCCGGCCCUGUGGAAGUCCUUUGUCCAAAGCGUGUUGAAUGCAUGCACUGAAACAAUCAGAAAACACAAAACAAAACAACAUUAAGAUACUGAAAACAAUUACUUAAAACAUUUUAUAUUUUGGCAUCUUAUUAAAAGGCAGACUCAGCGACUAAUGGGCAGGUAUGAAUUUGGAAAAGCUGUCAGGAAUCCCGCUUCCUGAGUCUGUUUUCUGCCUGAGCUGACAGUUUUUUUGUUUUGGAGUCUGUUUCCUGAGGUUCCUGAACGCACCCUGUCUGGUUGCCAGGCGACGAAGCUAGGCGGGAGAUCUCUUAAUUACCCGCACCUGCAUCUCAUCAGCACACCUGGUCCUGAUCAUCACCUCUUCUCUUCAUAAGCUCUAACCUGACAUCCAUUCCCUGCCGGAUCGUUAGCAAUGAACAUCAUCCUCCCGGAACAUCCAACUCCCUUGCCUUGCCUGGCCGUCGGUGGUUUCAGUGACUUCAUUGGAUCUGCCUAUUCACUCUCAUCAACUCACCUCCGCUGCCGCUCCGUCUCCUGGAUUAUUCUAUUUUCACCUCGAGACUGUAAAUAAAUACUCACCUUCAUUUUACUCACCUUGUCCUGGUCUGCUUCUGGGUUCAGCUUUAGAGAAUCGUGACAAAAGUGGGGUGACCCAUUACAAAGUUACCUCGAUGUUGCUAUGCUUCUCACUGAAACUGGCAUUCUAAAUAUUUUUCGGUAAGGAAACAAUGUUUCGGCCUUGUAUAAAUGCUAUUUAAACAGACAAUGUAGCUAGCAUAAACUGCUACCUACUAAAUCUACCUUUACAUGUGUGGUCAACUGCACCUAGAGAGCCAUUGUAUUUACUUCUGUUUACAAGAUACCCCCCCCUUCCCUCGGC
rnacentral:lncRNA from 1 species